rnacentral:sRNA from 1 species
CGCCCCUGGGGCCCUAGACGUUGGGUUCCAGGGUUCUUCACGUUCCAUUCCCAGGCUGCCCCGGCCUCCACCUGCUGCCCUUAGCCAGCCAGUGUUGCCCUUGGCCCCCUCAUCGUCUGCCCCAGAAGGGCCUGCAAAAAGUGAUCCUGAGGUGACACCACAGCUCAGCUCCCCAGCACCGCUGUGUCUGACACUGCAGGAGAGGCUGCUGGCCUUCGAGCGGGACCGUGUGACCAUCCCAGCAGCCCAGGUGGCUUUGGCCAAACAGCUGGCUGGUGACAUUGCCCUGGAGCUGCAGGCCUACUUUCAGAGCAAGUUCCCAGAACUGCCCUUUGGGGCAUUCGUGCCUGGGGGGCCGCUCUACGACGGGCUGCAGGCGGGGGCUGCGGACCAUGUGCGUCUCCUGGUGCCACUGGUGCUGGAGCCCGGCCUGUGGAGCCUGGUGCCGGGCGUGGACACCGUGGCGAGGGACCCUCGCUGCUGGGCCGUGCGCAGGACUCAGCUUGAGUUCUGCCCCCGCGGAAGCAGCCCCUGGGACCGCUU